AGUUGCAUAUUGCAGACCCGAAACCAGGCGACUACCCAUGGUCAGGAUGAAGUUCCUUAACCGGAAAUGGAGGUCCGAACCCACGCACGUUGAAAAGUGCGGGGAUGAACUGUGGGUAGAGGUGAAAUUCCAAUCGAGCCUGGAGAUAGCUGGUUCUACUCCGAAAUAGCUUUAGGGCUAGCGUCAGAGUUUAGAUUGCAGGAGGUAGAGCACUGACUGUCCUAGGGGCCCUUUGGGUUACCGAAGACUAUCAAAACUCCGAAUGCCUGUAUAUUAUAUCUGGCAGUCAGACUAUGAGUGAUAAGAUCCAUGGUCAAGAGGGCAACAGCCCAGACCGUCAGCUAAGGUCCCAAAAAUGUGUGUUAAGUGGAAAAGGAUGUGGGAUUGCCCAGACAACCAGGAUGUUGGCUUAGAAGCAGCCAUUCAUUUUAAAGAGUGCGUAAUAGCUCACUGGUCGAGUGGUCCCGCGCCGAAAAUUACCGGGGC
rnacentral:rRNA from 1 species